CAGCAGUCCUCAAGCAAAAGAAGCUGUUUGAACUUUCCCCUAAAGACGCUUCUCCCUCUUGCAGUGGUUUUAAAAUCUUGGGUUUCUACCCUUUUCAAGUGAACCUGACUUGGAGCCAGGCAGCUCUGUCUGAUCACAGGAGAGUGGAGCUCACUGUGGCACGGGAAACUAGGCUGUGCAUCAGACACUCCUUGUUCCCAGAACGGAGCAGUGGCCCCUCUUUCCAAUAGAAAAGCCGCCCUUUUCUCCUUUAACCUCUCUGUCAUGAAGAUUAAAACCAGUUUUGAUGGACCAAAUCUGUUGGGAGGC
rnacentral:lncRNA from 1 species